CCGGGCUCUGCCUAGCAGGGUAAAGCUUGGUGAAACGAACUUUGAAGCCUCAGAAGAAAGACCUAGGCAGAUUUGCUGAAGCCUCAAUUGUUCUUAACAGUCUGAGGAUAGCUAGCAACCUACAAGCAGAAACAAAUGCGAAGACCACCUGAUCUUAACAAGCCUUCUCCCUCUGCCAUGGGUAACAGAAGUGGUACAAGAAGAGGAAAGGCCCUUCACCUCAUGUGAUCAAGCACCAUAUGGAAGGGGACAAGGAAAUUAGAACAACGUCGCUCAGAACGCUCCAGGGGCGAAUUCUUGCCAGGUACCAUUUCUCACAAGGAGGGAAGAGAGAUGCACG